rnacentral:rRNA from 1 species
GGAACCUGAAAACCUAGUCUCAGCUCGGAUCGGAGUCUGCAACCCGACUCCGUGAAGCUGGAUUCGCUAGUAAUCGCGCAUCAGCCAUGGCGCGGUGAAUACGUUCCCGGGCCUUGUACACACCGCCCGUCAAGCCAUGGGAGCUGGGGGUGCCUGAAGGCCGUGACCGCGAGGAGCGGCCUAGGGUAAAACCGGUGACUGGGGCUAAGUCGUAACAAGGUACC